CUCUCCCUCCCACCUCCCCUAUCACGCCUUCCCUGCCAUCUCCGCCUACGUACUCCCAUCAUCGACCUGCUGCUGCUGAGGAGCCGUGAUGGUUAUCUUCUUGACCUACAUGAAAGUAAAGCCAGGCAAAAGGAAUGGAAAGAAAUGAUGAGCCAGUUCAAUAUUGUACUUCUUUCCGUUUCUCAGCAUGCCUCCAUCCCCACCUAGAGUAAUAUCCCACCGAACACCGACUUGUGCUACUCAUCUAUUCAUUUUUGCAGGUGUAAGUCUCUCAUGGGGUUUCGUCUGGAUAUCUCAACUUGGCUGACGAGCUUCAAGAUGUCCACCAUCAGGGUCAGCAGGAGUUCCUGUGGCACUUGAGAUGGCCCUCUGCCUAGGUGGGGCCAAUGAGUAAUCCUGCCAAGCAUUGAGGCCCGUCAGGACGCCACCUCCCUCCACAUGCCGAAGCUUGUGGAGAUGAGACAGCUAGACCUGCAAAUGCUGUUCAAGCAAAACUAAUAUUCACAGGUCAUAUUGGAUGUGUGAAGAAUAUAAGGUAGCAUUGUGUCUUUCUGAAACAAGGAACUGCUUUUGUUUGUACUAUAAAGUAGAUUUAGUGUUAUGUAUAUUUGUAAGCAAUCAAAUAUGUAAUGAUUUUUUGUAAGCAAACAAA